rnacentral:rRNA from 1 species
AUUGAACGCUGGCGGCAUGCCUUACACAUGCAAGUCGAACGGUAACGGGCCUUCGGGUGCCGACGAGUGGCGAACGGGUGCGUAAUACAUCGGAACGUGCCCGAUCGUGGGGGAUAACGAGGCGAAAGCUUUGCUAAUACCGCAUACGAUCUACGGAUGAAAGCAGGGGACCGCAAGGCCUUGCGCGGACUGAGCGGCCGAUGGCAGAUUAGGUAGUUGGUGGGAUAAAAGCUUACCAAGCCGACGAUCUGUAGCUGGUCUGAGAGGAUGAUCAGCCACACUGGGACUGAGACACGGCCCAGACUCCUACGGGAGGCAGCAGUGGGGAAUUUUGGACAAUGGGCGCAAGCCUGAUCCAGCCAUGCCGCGUGCAGGAUGAAGGCCUUCGGGUUGUAAACUGCUUUUGUACGGAACGAAAAGCCUUCUUUUAAUACAGGAGGGUCAUGACGGUACCGUAAGAAUAAGCACCGGCUAACUACGUG